UACGUAGGGCGCAAGCUUUGUCCGGAAUUAUUGGGCGUAAAGAGCUCGUAGGCGGCUUGUCGCGUCGGAUGUGAAAGCCCGGGGCUCAACCCCGGGUCUGCAGUCGAUACGGGCAGGCUAGAGUUCGGUAGGGGAGAUCGGAAUUCCUGGUGUAGCGGUGAAAUGCGCAGAUAUCAGGAGGAACACCGGUGGCGAAGGCGGAUCUCUGGGCCGAUACUGACGCUGAGGAGCGAAAGCGUGGGGAGCGAACAGG
rnacentral:rRNA from 1 species